rnacentral:rRNA from 1 species
AUUGAACGCUGGCGGCAUGCUUUACACAUGCAAGUCGAACGGUAACAGGCCUUCGGGCGCUGACGAGUGGCGAACGGGUGAGUAACGCAUCGGAACGUGCCCAGUCGUGGGGGAUAACGCAGCGAAAGCUGUGCUAAUACCGCAUACGAUCUGCGGAUGAAAGCGGGGGACCUUCGGGCCUCGCGCGAUUGGAGCGGCCGAUGUCAGAUUAGGUAGUUGGUGGGGUAAAGGCCCACCAAGCCAACGAUCUGUAGCUGGUCUGAGAGGACGACCAGCCACACUGGGACUGAGACACGGCCCAGACUCCUACGGGAGGCAGCAGUGGGGAAUUUUGGACAAUGGGCGCAAGCCUGAUCCAGCAAUGCCGCGUGCAGGAAGAAGG